rnacentral:rRNA from 1 species
UACGGGGGGGGCUAGCGUUGUUCGGAAUUACUGGGCGUAAAGGGCGCGUAGGCGGUCUGCUAAGUUGGAUGUGAAAACUCUGGGCUUAACCCAGAGCCUGCAUUCAAUACUGACAGGCUAGAGUUCUGGAGGGGAUAGCGGAAUUCCUGGUGUAGCGGUGAAAUGCGUAGAUAUCAGGAGGAACACCGGUGGCGAAGGCGCUGCUCUGGGCCGGUACUGACGCUGAGGAGCGAAAGCGUGGGUAGCAAACAGG